CAAUAGGAAAGCAAGAUAGGUGGAACUAGGAGUCAAGGAGGAUUCUGGGAAAUGUAGUAAAAAGAUCCAGGCAGGAAGUGACAUAGCAGGCAGACUCAGAAUAUAAGCAGGAAAUAGCUCUCUUGCUCUUCCUCUUCCUCUCUUCUCUACAGAGCCACCAUGUGAUCCUGGGAAGAGGACACCAGCAGAAGGCAUUCUCAAUAAGAUAAGUCUUAUUAAUUAUCGAGGUUGAGAAUUAAUACUGAGCUAGCAAAUAAGAAAUCCUAGUCAAUUGUCCAACAGCAGUGUGAACUAAUAUUGAAAGACUUAAAAAUUAGCAAGGAAACAGAUGCGGCUCUACUACCUACCCACCUACCCCCCUUGCAAGAAGAAUUGCUCUUGACCCAGAGACUUGCUGACCAAGGCCCCAUGACUCAGUUCCUGGAAUCUCCCCUACAAGGCUGUAAGAUAGCUAGAACACCAAGAAUUUCCAGAUGGCUGCACUCCCCAGAGGAGCCCAUUAAGGGAACUAACUGACUGGAAGUCAAAAAAUGAUAAGUAAAUCCUUGAAAAACAAUGACCAAUGUCUUAGGCAAGAUUGAUUAGCACAUUCUGAGGUCUGGUCUAUUUGCCCAAUGGAUGGGCCUGGAGAGUUGCAACCCCCCCCACACACACACACACAAAGCUUAUGGUUUUUGCCUUUAAAUGCCUGGGGAAUGGGGCUGCUCUCUAGCCUGUGUGCUGAGAGAAUCCAUUUGUACAAAGUCUUCCCAUUCAUUAAAGCCUUAUUGCAUCAACUGGACUGGACAUUGAGUUCUUGGGGGGGACCGGCCAGAUCAGGGAGACUCCUCACCCUGAGGGUUUUUCAAUAUAAGACUCUGUGUGUUAUUCUAGGCGCCCACGUGGCGGGGCAGAACUCGGGCAGCCAGUGGAAAGACUUAUCUUUACAUAAGCCAGCUACUAUCUCCAAGGCAUCCGGAUUUUUGGCAGGAAACAGGUUCUCACGGGAUUUGUGUGCAGGAAGCUGCUAG
rnacentral:lncRNA from 1 species